CUGUGGCCAUGGAGUAUAGAAUGUAGCACUCGAGAAAAAAAAAGGAAGAGUGGACCCCACGAAAACUACUGCUCCCUAAUUCUUAAAAACCAAUCUUUCUAUUAUCUUUGCUCACUGGUCACAUGACAUCACAACUUGCCCCAUUGCCAUAUAUUCUUUUAAUACAAGCCUUCGAUUCUAUCUUCUCUUUGUUUCAUGCCACAGCCCACAAUUAGUGUGAUUCAAACUGACCAAGAC
rnacentral:lncRNA from 1 species